GGCUCUUUGUUUUAAUACGAUAAGGAGUCGGACCUGCCCGGUGAAAAUAUUUUAACGGCCGCGGUACUCUGACCGUGCAAAGGUAGCAUAAUCAUUUGCCCUAUAAUUAAGGGCUAGUAUGAAUGGUUUGACAAGAGCAACACUGUCUCUACAAAAAUUUCUAGAACUUAAUGUUCAAGUGAAGAAUCUUGAAUUGAAUUAAUAGACAAGAAGACCCUAUCGAGCUUAAAAGAAUUAGGUAGAUUUUAUUGAAACUGUGUUCUGUAUUUUCUUCUACCUAAAAUUUUGGUUGGGGCGACUAAGGAACAACCAAAGCUUCCUAAAUAUCUUUAACUUAUAAGUUUUGAUCCGAUUAUUUCGAUUAAAAGAAUUAGUUACCGUAGGGAUAACAGCAUAAUCCUUUUUGAGAGCUCAUAUCGAAAAAAGGGUUUGUGACCUCGAUGUUGGACUAGAAUAUCCAGAAGAUGCAGAAGU
rnacentral:rRNA from 4 species